GAGAGUAGAGGGGAUGUAAAAUCAUUAUGUGGAGAGCUGGAGAACAACCUGAUGAAGGAAAUCAAGUGAGCUGGGCAAGGUGUGGAGUCCAUUUGAGAUUGAAGAUCAAUAAAUUAUCGUGGUAUUGGUCUGUCCUGUUGUGUGAAUUAUUUUUUAAAUGUUUCCCGGCAGCUCAGGUCCAAGUGUCAGGAAAGCAGGUAGUUGUAUUUGUCCUGGAUGGGGCUUUCUUGGAUGUGACAGAAAGACAAUGAGGCAAGGGAAUUUGGGGAAAAAAUGUUCAGUUUUUAACAAAUGAUGGACAGUUAGGAGAACUAAGCUGGACUAGGAAGUGAAAAUAGGUGAGUCUGAUAGAGUAGAAUGAACUGUGCUUGGAAGACAGGUGCCAUGGGAGUAAUCGGGUAAUUAAGCAGCGAGAGUCUCAUUAGGGUGAGAGCGGAGGCAUCUGAGUGAGUGGAUCUGGAGGUGACGGUGGAGGUCAGCGUUUGGUUUUGGCAGUCGUGGCACUCACCUCUCUGAGGGCUUCCCUGUAGGAGGGACAUAAAUUCAGGAAUCAUGGCCAAGGAAACAUGCUGUUUUACUGGAAACUUGCAGUUAUUAAUAAAUACAUUACAUAAAAGCAGUGCUGGAGCCUCUAUGGCUUAGGGUCAGGGCUUAAGUAAGACAGCCUAUCAUCUGCCUUCUAAACUUGAGGUGGCCCAGUUUGGAAAGCCGAUUUCCUGAGGUAGAGCAGAGGUGUGUGUCAUUGACUGUUACGGCCCCCCUCCUGAGUAGGGAAUUGGGACCAGUGAGUAUUCUCAGGAUGGGUGGGGCUGAAAAGAAGGGGAUGAGUGUUUGCUCCCCAGUGGAGACAAGCAGAAAUCUGGGAGGGGGAGAGUAUUUUCAUGUAUGACAAGAUCCGGGGUGUGACAGUUUGUGCACGGUUACCCAGCUGCCUUUCCCUAAAGACACGGCCUCAGGGCAGGAGCCCCCCAAGCUGUGGAUGAGCUGCUCAGAGUUCUGAGCUGGGGAGGAAAGGGGCUUCUGGGCGGGCACCAGCUUGGUCUGGAAGGAUCAGAAGAUGAAGACUUGCUCCUCUCCCACCACCCCACAGAUGCCAGUUGCCAUGACAACAGGUGUCUUUGAUAUGAAAAGGACAUUUUGGGGUCAAUUGGCAAAACUUAAAUGGGAUCUGAGGAAUAGAAGGUAAAAAUUGGUCAGUGUUAAUCUCCUGAUAUUGAUUGUAGGAGAACAUAGGAAAUACUCACUGAUGUCUUCCCAGGAGUUAGCCAUUACACUAGGUAUUUAUGGUUUAGGAAAAAAGUAU
rnacentral:lncRNA from 1 species